rnacentral:rRNA from 1 species
CAGCAGCCACGGGAAUACGUAGGUGGCAAGCGUUGUCCGGAAUUAUUGGGCGUAAAGGGCUCGCAGGCGGUUUCUUAAGUCUGAUGUGAAAGCCCCCGGCUCAACCGGGGAGGGUCAUUGGAAACUGGGAAACUUGAGUGCAGAAGAGGAAAGUGGAAUUCCAUGUGUAGCGGUGAAAUGCGCAGAGAUAUGGAGGAACACCAGUGGCGAAGGCGACUUUCUGGUCUGUAACUGACGCUGAUGUGCGAAAGCGUGGGGAUCAAACAGGAUUAGAGACCCCUGUAGUCCCUGUCUCUUAUAC